rnacentral:lncRNA from 1 species
CAAGGGGGCACCAGCUCAGGACUGCAUCUGCCUGCCAUUUCCCUUCCACUCCUCCUUUCUGGAGUCUGACAUUAGAAAGCCAGCGAGAAGGAAGAUUCAAACAACCAACCCUGAUUUCCUGCUUCUCCUUUUCAUGAGUGUUCCUGUGGUCUCUGCACCUCCUUUCUGCGACACACCCAACCAUGUCUACCUGACUCUCCGUCAAUUCCCGUUUCUCCCACUGAGCUAUUGCUUCAGCAUCAUGACCAGAGCAGAC